rnacentral:rRNA from 1 species
GUACACGCUGUGACUAGCAUAUCAAUAAGCGGAGGAAAAGAAACUAACAAGGAUUCCCUUAGUAACGGCGAGUGAAGCGGGAAGAGCUCAAAUUUGAAAUCUUAAAGGGUUUCCCUUUACGAAUUGUAGUUUAAAGAAGUGUUUUCUGUUGAAGUUUUGGUAAAAGUUCUUUGGAAUAGGACAUCAUAGAGGGUGAGAAUCCCGUAUUUGACCAUUAUUUUCAGCUGUGUGAUACACUUUCAAAGAGUCGGAUUGUUUGGGAAUGCAGUCCAAAAUGGGUGGUAAAUUUCAUCUAAAGCUAAAUAUUGGCGAGAGACCGAUAGCGAACAAGUACCGUGAGGGAAAGAUGAAAAGAACUUUGAAAAGAGAGUUAAACAGUACGUGAAAUUGUCAAAAGGGAAGCGUUUGACACCAGUGUUGUUUUUCUGAAAAUCAAUUAAAGAACUGUUUAUGCUAAGUUGUUUAGACUUUAUCAGCUCACUGUUAGUUUUGAGCUUUCUUUAAUGCACUUUUCAGUUAACAAGUCAACAUCAAUUUCUUUUGCUGUAAAAAGGCUUGAGGAAGGUGGCUUGAGAUUCGUCUUAAGUGUUUAUAGCCUCUUGCCUAUGCAGUCGGAGAGAUUGAGGUCUGCAGCGUAGAUCCUUCGGGGCUAAAUGCAUUUGUGCUAAGUUAUAGCAUUUUAUAGACAACUUGUUGACUAUGAUUUAGUCUUGUAGCUUACUCGCUUAUGCUAUUUUACCUACGCUUAGGAUGUUGACGCAUGAGAUAUACGC